GGCCCUGUGGUGUAAUGGUAGCAUGUCUGACUGCAGAUCAGAACGGUGUGCGUGCGCAAAACACAUCAGGGUUAACACCA